AUUGAACGCUGGCGGCAGGCCUAACACAUGCAAGUCGAAUGGUAACAGGAAACAGCUUGCUGUUUCGCUGACGAGUGGCGGACGGGUGAGUAAUGUCUGGGAAACUGCCUGAUGGAGGGGGAUAACUACUGGAAACGGUAGCUAAUACCGCAUAACGUCGCAAGACCAAAGAGGGGGACCUCCGGGCCUCUGGCAAUCAGAUGGGCCCAGAUGGGAUUAGCUAGUAGGUGGGGUAACGGCUCACCUAGGCGACGAUCCCUAGCUGGUCUGAGAGGAUGACCAGCCACACUGGAACUGAGACACGGUCCAGACUCCUACGGGAGGCAGCAGUGGGGAAUAUUGCACAAUGGGCGCAAGCCUGAUGCAGCCAUGCCGCGUGUAUGAAGAAGGCCUUCGGGUUGUAAAGUACUUUCAGCGGGGAGGAAGGGAGUAAAGUUAAUACCUUUGCUCAUUGACGUUACCCGCAGAAGAAGCACCGGCUAACUCCGUG
rnacentral:rRNA from 1 species